rnacentral:rRNA from 1 species
CCUACGGGAGGCAGCAGUGGGGAAUAUUGCACAAUGGGCGCAAGCCUGAUGCAGCGACGCCGCGUGGGGGAUGAAGGCCUUCGGGUUGUAAACCCCUUUCAGCAGGGAAGAAGCGAAAGUGACGGUACCUGCAGAAGAAGCGCCGGCUAACUACGUGCCAGCAGCCGCGGUAAUACGUAGGGCGCAAGCGUUGUCCGGAAUUAUUGGGCGUAAAGAGCUCGUAGGCGGUUUGUCGCGUCUGCUGUGAAAGUCCGAGGCUCAACCUCGGAUCUGCAGUGGGUACGGGCAGACUAGAGUGUGGUAGGGGAGACUGGAAUUCCUGGUGUAGCGGUGGAAUGCGCAGAUAUCAGGAGGAACACCAAUGGCGAAGGCAGGUCUCUGGGCCACAACUGACGCUGAGGAGCGAAAGCAUGGGGAGCGAACAGGAUUAGAUACCCUGGUAGUCCAUGCCGUAAACGGUGGGCACUAGAUGUGGGGCUCUUUCCAUGUAGUCGUCGUCGCNGCGACGCGAGUAGUCGCCCGCCGUCGGAGGAAGGUACGGCCGCGAGGACGUUAAACGUUACGAAGGAAGUUAGACGGCGUUGAGACGNGCCGACGGACGACGACGAGGGAGGAGG